CUGGCUCAGGAUGAACGCUGGCGGCGUGCUUAACACAUGCAAGUCGAACGAUGAAGCCCAGCUUGCUGGGUGGAUUAGUGGCGAACGGGUGAGUAACACGUGAGUAACCUGCCCUUAACUCUGGGAUAAGCCUGGGAAACUGGGUCUAAUACCGGAUAGGAGCGCCUACCGCAUGGUGGGUGUUGGAAAGAUUUAUCGGUUUUGGAUGGACUCGCGGCCUAUCAGCUUGUUGGUGAGGUAAUGGCUCACCAAGGCGACGACGGGUAGCCGGCCUGAGAGGGUGACCGGCCACACUGGGACUGAGACACGGCCCAGACUCCUACGGGAGGCAGCAGUGGGGAAUAUUGCACAAUGGGCGCAAGCCUGAUGCAGCGACGCCGCGUGAGGGAUGACGGCCUUCGGGUUGUAAACCUCUUUCAGUA
rnacentral:rRNA from 1 species